rnacentral:rRNA from 1 species
GCGUACCUACGGGAGGCAGCAGUAGGGAAUCUUCCACAAUGGGCGAAAGCCUGAUGGAGCAACGCCGCGUGGGUGAAGAAGGUCUUUGGAUCGUAAACCCCUGUUGUUAGAGAAGAAAGUGCGUGAGAGUAACUGUUCACGUUUCGACGGUAUCUAACCAGAAAGCCACGGCUAACUACGUGCCAGCAGCCGCGGUAGUACGUAGGUGGCAAGCGUUAUCCGGAUUUAUUGGGCGUAAAGGGAACGCAGGCGGUCUUUUAAGUCUGAUGUGAAAGCCUUCGGCUUAACCGGUGUAGUGCAUUGGA